UACAGAGGGUGCGAGCGUUAAUCGGAAUUACUGGGCGUAAAGCGUGCGUAGACGGCUAUCUAAGUCGGGUGUGAAAGCCCCGGGCUCAACCUGGGAAUUGCAUUCGAGACUGAAUAGCUAGGGUACGGUAGAGGGAAGUGGAAUUUCCGGUGUAGCGGUGAAAUGCGUAGAUAUCGGAAGGAACAUCAGUGGCGAAAGCGGCUUCCUGGACCAGAACUGACGAUCAGGCACGAAAGCGUGGGGAGCAAACAGG
rnacentral:rRNA from 1 species